rnacentral:rRNA from 1 species
UGGGGAAUUUUGGACAAUGGGGGAAACCCUGAUCCAGCCAUCCCGCGUGUGCGAUGAAGGCCUUCGGGUUGUAAAGCACUUUUGGCAGGAAAGAAACGUCAUGGGUUAAUACCCCGUGAAACUGACGGUACCUGCAGAAUAAGCACCGGCUAACUACGUGCCAGCAGCCGCGGUAAUACGUAGGGUGCAAGCGUUAAUCGGAAUUACUGGGCGUAAAGCGUGCGCAGGCGGUUCGGAAAGAAAGAUGUGAAAUCCCAGAGCUCAACUUUGGAACUGCAUUUUUAACUACCGGGCUAGAGUGUGUCAGAGGGAGGUGGAAUUCCGCGUGUGGCAGUGAAAUGCGUAGAUAUGCGGAGGAACACCGAUGGCGAAGGCAGCCUCCUGGGAUAACACUGACGCUCAUGCACGAAAGCGUGGGGAGCAAACAG